rnacentral:tRNA from 2 species
GGCCUAUUCGUCUAGUGGUAAGGACUCAAGAUUUUCAGUCUUGCAACAGGGGUUCGAUUCCCUUAUAGGCUACUA